rnacentral:rRNA from 1 species
ACACAUGCAAGUCGAGCGGGGAAUGAUUGGUAGCUUGCUACUGGUUAUUUCUAGCGGCGGACGGGUGAGUAACGCGUGAGCAACCUGCCUUUAUCAGGGGGAUAACGCAUCGAAAGAUGUGCUAAUACCGCGUAAGACCACAGCUUCACAUGGAGCAGGGGUCAAAGGAGCAAUCCGGAUAAAGAUGGGCUCGCGUCCGAUUAGCUAGUUGGUGAGAUAACAGCCCACCAAGGCGACGAUCGGUAGCCGACCUGAGAGGGUGAUCGGCCACAUUGGAACUGAGAAACGGUCCAGACUCCUACGGGAGGCAGCAGUGGGGAAUAUUGGGCAAUGGGCGAAAGCCUGACCCAGCAACGCCGCGUGAGGGAAGAAGGGUUUCGGCUCGUAAACCUCUGUCCUAUGGGACGAAGGAAGUGACGGUACCAUAGGAGGAAGCCCCGGCUAACUACGUGCCAGCAGCCGCGGUAAUACGUAGGGGGCGAGCGUUGUCCGGAAUGAUUGGGCGUAAAGGGCGCGUAGGCGGCCUGCUAAGUCUGGAGUGAAAGUCCUGCUUUCAAGGUGGGAAUUGCUUUGGAUACUGGUGGGCUGGAGUGCAGGAGAGGAAAGCGGAAUUACCGGUGUAGCGGUGAAAUGCGUAGAGAUCGGUAGGAACACCAGUGGCGAAGGCGGCUUUCUGGACUGAAACUGACGCUGAGGCGCGAAAGCGUGGGGAGCAAACAGGAUUAGAUACCCUGGUAGUCCACGCGGUAAACGAUGAAUGCUAGGUGUAGGAGGUAUCGACCCCUUCUGUGCCGCAGUAAACACAAUAAGCAUUCCGCCUGGGGAGUACGGCCGCAAGGUUGAAACUCAAAGGAAUUGACGGGGGCCCGCACAA